UACGUAGGGGGCAAGCGUUGUCCGGAAUCAUUGGGCGUAAAGCGCGUGUAGGCGGUCCGGUAAGUCCGCUGUGAAAGUCGGGGGCUCAACCCUCGAAUGCCGGUGGAUACUGUCGGGCUAGAGUCCGGAAGAGGCGAGUGGAAUUCCUGGUGUAGCGGUGGAAUGCGCAGAUAUCAGGAAGAACACCGACGGCGAAGGCAGCUCGCUGGGACGGUACUGACGCUGAGGCGCGAAAGCGUGGGGAGCGAACAGG
rnacentral:rRNA from 1 species